UUCAUUUCUAGGGGGUAUGUGUUACAAUUUUUAUACUUGUAAAUAUUUCUAAGGAUUUAAAGAAUACUUUUUUCCUCCCAUUUUGGAAGAUCUCAUCACAAUGAUUCUCAGUCCUUCCAUUAGAAGAUUUGAUCAGAUCUGUUCUUUGUUUCCUAGCAGCAUGUGUUUCCUAGCAGUCAUACAUUCCACAGGUCCUGAUGUCAUUAGAACAGUGUCUGUCAGUUUAUUGUGCUGUCUUUAGCUGAAGGUGAAUGUGUCAGUGUUUGAAUGCCAUUCCAUAACACUUCUAAGUAUUCAGUAACCUGCUGCACUGGAGUACAUGGUUGACUGAACUAUUUCUAAAACUGGGUAGGAGAAAUGAUUAGUACAACGGUUUAUGUGAACUACUUAAUUUUUCUUAGGUAGAUAUGUUAGGCUGCAUCAGGCAUCCCUAGCCAGAAGAGUGAUAAGCCAGCAUGUGAUUUGUCUGAUACUUUUGAUGUCUCAGUUUAGGUUGCUUGGUGAGAUUAUCCUUCAGAUUCAGGACCAGCUCAAAAAUAUGAAUGAAACAUUUUUCAGAAAUGAUUUUCUUUAUAAUGUUCUUCUUAUGUUUUACAGACUUAAAUAUUUCUUUCCACAGGGAAAAAUAACAAGUAUGGGACUUACUGGCUCCAGCUGCUGUGCCUGCUAUUGUUUCUAGUGAUUAGGAUAGGCAAUUUUUUCCUGUGGACUUGAUUUACCUUUGAUUCCUUUUUGUAAGUUGUAGCCAAGGAAAUCAUAAAUAGUAGAUUUAAAAAAGAUUAGAAAAUCACAAGAUUGAAGUUAAUUAAAUAAUAUAACACAUAAUUGCAUUGUUUUUUAGAAUUUGAUUUGGACCAUUUUAGCUGUGUUUGAACUCUCUUUGAAAAGGGCUGCCAAGUAGAAGUGAUAGUUACUGUUAAAAGUGGGCAUUGUGGAACAGAAAUUAGCAAAAAACUGAUUGAGAUUUUUUUGUAUUAAGAUCAAACACUGAUUCUGAGAAAUGCUGUGCUACUUUAAUUUGGUAUGGUGUGAACUGCGAGAGCAGUCAGAAUUUAAAGAGAG
rnacentral:lncRNA from 1 species